GAGAGAAGAAAAAUGGGGAGAGGGGAGAUUUCUCAUUUCCUCCACACAAAAAUUGUCAUCCACGAAGAUCCAUCGGUCCAAUUUUCGAUCCAUCUUCGGAAACGUGAUCUACGUGUAAGGAUCUACGUUUUCACCGAUUGUUUUGGGUGGCACAUUGCGAGGCAUUGACUAGGGAGCUUAGUUAAGCUUGUUAUCCGCGCAGUCAAGAUGUGGUUAAUAACCCCACAACUGUACAGACUCUGAUGCUUUGACUGCAGGUUCAGUGGAUCUAAUGAAUGACGUUGUGGCAUAGUACUUGGGAUGUUAUGACUGAAGCCUGACGCGACAGUUAUAAUGGUUGGACCAUGAGUUGUCCGCCUUUUAGUAAACUUUGUUUAUGGCUCGUGUCGCCUGUGACACUUGUAUUUAUGAGCCAGUAUUUUGGUAUGUAUUUAAUAGCUAUGUAGAAGCCUUAAACUGAUAGAUAUAUUAAUUAGGGCUGGCAAAACGGGUCACCCGACACAACCCGUUUAUGUUAACGGGUCGGGGCUCCAGACACGACACGAACACGAUUAUUUCACGGGUCACCCGACACGACCCGUGAACCCGUUUAACAUAACUGAUCGAAUCGGGUCGACACGACCCGUUUGACCCGUUUAGCUUAAAUUUUUAUUUAUUUAUUUAUUAUUAUUAUUAUUUUGGGGGGGUUUUUGCAGGAACAGAAAUAGAAAACAUUUUCCAGUGCUCUUCUACAGAAACAUGCUGCAGGACUUCCUGGAUUUGCAGGAGAAUUGGCCACCAGAUUUUGGGGUCUGCGUCUUGGAAUUUUCAAUGUUGGCAGGAUUCUUUCCAGCGUGCUUGGAUGGAUGAGGACUGAGGAGUUGCCGUGCGAACAACUUUCUUAGUUCUUACCAUCUACAACAUGUAACCAGGCUGGUUAAACCAGCUAAGUAUCAAAUCAAGUAAAAAAUAAAGGCCUUCUCCAAAAAAAAUAUU